UAAGGCCAGGCAGGUGACUAUAAAAGCUUCAGCACAAGAAGAGGCCCUGUCCGACCCCUUGGAUUAGAUACAAGAGUUUAAAAGAUGGAGGGAUUCUUUCUGUUGUAAUGAGCAUAAACAGAGAGUGAACAGUGAUUUGUUCACGACUCCAGCAUGGACUCAGCACAGUGGAGUCUGUGGCGGUUUCACCCCAAGGCCAGACGAGUGGAGUCACGCCUUUCCCCGGGUCCUGAGGAAUGUGUUACGGAAAAAGACACGUGGUAAAAGUGUCUAACAGCGGACGAAAGAGAGAGAGGAAGUUCAAACUCAAGGAACAGAUUCUAAUAUAUCUGUGUGAACAAAGGGUUUGACUAACCUGUGUGGGAGGGUAAGAUUCGGAGGGGAAAAAAAGAAAAAUAGGCGUGGAGGUUUCACAGUUUCACAGUUUCACCCCCCAGCUCUCAUUCCUGUCAUUCAACAACUUAUAUGGCACAGGGACAGGUCGGCGUCUCACUCCUACUACACUGACAGGGUCAUGUUUGGCUGAGCACAUGUGGAAUUCUUAACUGGAACUUUUUAAAGAAGGAAAGAAAAGAAAACCCUCCUGUGGCAGGUGUGACCUCAAACCAGGGACAAGAGGACGAGACACCUGUCAUCUAUCUUAUAACGACUCAAUAUCAUCCUGAGUAAAACACUGGAUAAACCGAGGAGACGCUUGUGGACAGAAACUGAAUCGUGGUUUCAGAGUGGUGCCUUUUAAAACUGGAUCAGAGAUGAACAAAUCACCUCAGACGUCUGUGAGAAUGGAAGAGGAACCACUGAACACCACGGCAGGUUCGGCUGAUGAUAUUUUAGAGAGGAGCAGAAGUCCAGGAGGUGCCGCGUCCUGCUGGGAGGACAAGUACCACAGGAAACUGGCCAUCUGCAGCAUCAUCUGUGGGUUCUCCUGCAUCGGGAUCAACGCUUUGAUACAUUCAGUCAAGGUGC